rnacentral:RNase_P_RNA from 1 species
UUAGGAAACAGUUUGGUUACUAUAUACGAAAGUAUGUAGAGGAAAGUCCAGACAGCAUAGAGCAAGGGUGUCCAGUUUAAAUACAGGAACGCGCAAGCGCUAGUUAGAGCAUCAGAGACGACUAAAUUUUCUACGCAAAGCUAUGUAGAAGAUGGAAGGUGAAAAGGGCAAUCCUCCCCGCUGCAAUCCUAGACUGAACCGUUAUCAGGUGGCUUGCCGAGGUUCGAAUCAGGAGCAUUAGAUAGAUUACCAUUAAAACAGAAUCUGGCUUACUCGUCUCCUAAGGCC